rnacentral:rRNA from 1 species
GAUGAACGCUGGCAGAAUGCUUAACACAUGCAAGUCGACUUGAACUUCGGUGUGGGUGGCGGUCGGGUGAGUAACGCGUAAGGAACUUGCCCCACAGCUAGGCACAACAUUUGGAAACGAAUGCUAAUACCUGAUAUGAUGAUUUUACGGCAUCCUAGAUGUAUGAAAGCUAUAUGCGCUGUGAGAGGGCUUUGCGUCCCAUUAUCAAGUUGGAGAGGUAACGGCUCACCAAUGCGAUGAUGGGUAGCCGGACUGACACGGUGAACGGCCACAGGGGGAUGGAGGAGCGGGCAUUAGUGCUACGGGAGGAAGGAGUGGAGACUAGUGGAAACUGCACCGAGAGUGUGAUGAAGCUCUUCUGUGUGUAAGAUGCAGUUUUUCGGGAUGUAAAGUGGUUUAAGUUGGGAAGAACAUAAUGACGGUACCAACAGAAGAAGUGACGGCUAAAUACGUG